UAAUACCACAUUUAAAGAUAUAUCUUUAAUCGUGCAUAAUUGCAUAAUACGCAUACAGUAGCAGCAAUGAUAGUACGAGUAAUGUGUGUGACUGUCGCAUAGACUAUAGUCACUAAUCUUACUCUAUGGACUGACACUACAAUACUUGGCUACGAGGGGCUGAAUGUUUCAAACCAGUAUUUAAUAAGUCAUGGCUGUAUCGUCUGUAUCCGAAUCCUAUUGGAUUCAGAUCACGGUUUAAGUUUAAAAGGACGUCACACAAAAACGAGAACGUAACCAAUGGUCCAGAGAUGGUGUUUUCAAAGCUGAAUAUUUCACUUUAAGAAUGUUCGUGUUUUUUACAUUUUGUGUUUAGACCAUGGGUGCCCGGAGAGGGGACAAUAUGGGGCAGUUGCCCCUCCCCCCCUUGGAAUUCAAAUAGAAUGUUGAACAUUUUAACUUUUAUUUUGAUUUAUAAACAUUUUAUCGAUAUUUUUACUUUAGUGUGUGGGGUUGAUACUUGAUUUCAUAUAAUUCUAACACAUUUUGUAGUUUACAAGGAAUAAAAAUUUUUUAAUGUA